rnacentral:rRNA from 1 species
UACGUAGGGGGCAAGCGUUUGUCCGGAUUUAUUGGGCGUAAAGAGCGUGUAGGCGGUUUGGUAGGUCCGCUGUGAAAAACUCGAGGCUCAACCUCGAGACGCCGGUGGAAACCAUCAGACUAGAGUCCGGAAGAGGAGAGUGGAAUUCCUGGUGUAGCGGUGAAAUGCGCAGAUAUCAGGAAGAACACCCGUGGCUAAGGCGGCUCUCUAGUACGGUACUGACGCUGAGACGCGAAAAGCGUGGGGGAGCGAACAGG